CCCAUCCCGAACUCAGUAGUGAAACGAUGCAUCGCCGAUGGUAGUGUGGGGUUUCCCCAUGUGAGAGUAGGUCAUCGUCAAGA
rnacentral:rRNA from 1 species